rnacentral:misc_RNA from 1 species
GGGAUGACUCUAAAUGGGAGUUCGACCAGUGGGGGCUACAAUAUCUUAUGUCUGGGCUGUGAUGGAGAGUAUGAGAUUUACGAUUCGGUUAAAAAUUCAUGGACUCACCCGGGUAGCAUGCCUUCUAGUAUUAAGCUUCCAUUAUCCCUGAAUUUCCGCUCACAAGCUGUCUCCAUUGACAGCACACUGUACUUCAUGCGUUCAGAUCCUGAAGGGAUUGUGUCUUACAACAUGGUCAGUGGGGUUUGGAAGCAGUUUAUAGUUCCCACCCCGCUACAUCUGACAGACCAUACGCUUGCGGAG